UUUUGAUCAGGAUGGUUUAAAUUUAAUCUUAUUUGUUGCAAAGACUUUUUGUUCUCUUUACAGGUGUAAGUUAACCUUACGAUCUUGUGCUUUUGUGAGAUGUGGGACAUACUACAGGUUUUCCCAGAUCGCAGCUCUACUGCCUCGAUCUACCUUUUCUACGGCAGUAACAUCCCAAGAUGUCAGCCGGAAGUCGAGAGACAUGCUCCAUUAACCCUGAUGAGUGACUUGUGGUGAAAUCCUCAUGGAUCAUGCUGAACAUCUCCCCGCAGAAUCAGUGGAACGUGUGUGACCUUCACCACAUUGUUGAAUGAUGGCUCAUCGGAAGAUAUAAAGAGUAAAGGACUGCUGGGCAAGGUAAAAGUUUGUUGACUUCAUUUCUCCUGGCCUUUAAAAUCUAAUUAUCUGUUCUUAUUCCUGCAAAGAGAUGGCAAAAAACAUAUCAAGCCCCAUAAACAGGCUCUAUGCUGGGUGCUUUUCACGUGCCAUUUCAUUUCAUAUCUGCCUCUAAUGGCAGAAACCAGUCUGAAUACAAAGACAUCCACUGUGUGUGCAUGUGAGAGAGAGAGAGAGAGACAGAGAGAGACAGAAAUGGAGAGAUGGAGAGAGUGACACACAGGGAGACAGAGAGAGAUGGAGAGAU
rnacentral:lncRNA from 1 species